UGGGGAAUCUUGCGCAAUGGAGGAAACUCUGACGCAGCUACGCCGCGUGCAGGAAGACACCCCUACGGGGCGUAAACUGCUUUUCUGCGAGAAGAAGGCCGCUGCCCGAGAGGGCAGGGUUUGACGGUACCGCAGGAAUAAGGACCGGCUAACUCCGUGCCAGCAGCCGCGGUAAUACGGAGGAUGCAAGCGUUAUCCGGAAUGAUUGGGCGUAAAGCGUCCGCAGGUGGUGAUGCAAGUCUGCUGUUAAAGAGUGUAGCUUAACUACAUAAAGGCGGUGGAAACUGCACCACUAGAGUACGUUCGGGGCAGAGGGAAUUCCUGGUGUAGCGGUGAAAUGCGUAGAUAUCAGGAAGAACACCGGUGGCGAAAGCGCUCUGCUAGGCCGUAACUGACACUGAGGGACGAAAGCUAGGGGAGCGAAUGGGAUUAGAUACCCCCGUAGUCC
rnacentral:rRNA from 1 species